GACGAACGCUGGCGGCGUGCUUAACACAUGCAAGUCGGACGGAGCGAAUGAAAGCUUGCUUUUAUGAGCUUAGUGGCAAACGGGUGAGUAACACGUAGACAACCUGCCGAUCAGAUGGGGACAACAUUCCGAAAGGAAUGCUAAUACCGAAUGGCGUGUAGGGGAGGCAUCUUCCCUACAUGAAAGAUGGCCUCUAUAUAUAAGCUAUCACUGAUCGAUGGGUUUGCGUCUGAUUAGCUAGUAGGUAAGGUAACGGCUUACCUAGGCGACGAUCAGUAGCCGGUCUGAGAGGAUGAACGGCCACAUUGGGACUGAGACACGGCCCAGACUCCUACGGGAGGCAGCAGUGGGGAAUCUUCCGCAAUGGGCGCAAGCCUGACGGAGCAACGCCGCGUGAGUGAAGAAGGUCUUCGGAUCGUAAAGCUCUGUUGAAGGGGACGAACGUAUAUAGUGCGAAUAGUGCUGUGUAAUGACGGUACCUUUGAGAGCC
rnacentral:rRNA from 1 species